rnacentral:lncRNA from 1 species
GUUACUGCAGAAGUCCUGCUGUUGGAGAAGCUCGGACAUUGACAAAGUCCGAAAGAAGUUCGAAGUAAAGUCGUUUGUGGCCGGAAGAAGUCUGGAAGAGAUUCGGAGAAUAGUCGAUCACUGUAGAAAAUUGGCUGAUAGUGAAGCUCAGAGAGCGUUUGGAGCGGUCCGGUAGAUGAAUGGAGGAGCUCAUUAUUGGAGAAGUUUGGAUGAUAUUACGGAAGCUCGGAUGGUCGGGGGAGUUCAGAAAGACGCCACA